rnacentral:rRNA from 1 species
CAGUCGCCGCGGGAAUACGAAGGGGGCUAGCGUUGUCCGGAUUUAUUGGGCGUAAAGCGAGCGCAGGCGGUUAGAUAAGUCUGAAGUUAAAGGCUGUGGCUUAACCAUAGUACGCUUUGGAAACUGUUUAACUUGAGUGCAAGAGGGGAGAGUGGAAUUCCAUGUGUAGCGGUGAAAUGCGUAGAGAUGUGGAGGAACACCAGUGGCGAAGGCGACUCUCUGGUCUGUAACUGACGCUGAGGAGCGAAAGCGUGGGGAGCGAACAGGAUUAGAUACCCGAGUAGUCCCUGUCUCUUAUACA